UUGGCUGCACCCGGAAUUCGAAAAAAACUUUCCAAGCGUUUCCAGUUCCAGACCCCGGAGUCGUGGCCUGCAUCCAAUUCGUGGGCUAAAAAGUAGAAAGUGAUUCCUCCCGAACCUCGUUGUCUCACUAGUGACUGGCUGCCUCGUUCCCGAGCGCCUCGACUCGGUUCGCUCACGCCAUGCAUGGCGGCUAUGGUUUCCGUCGCCGCCGCCGGUCGUGGCUGCUACUGCUACUGUCGGGCUCGAAGGAGGAAAACGGGAUUCCACCGCCGGCCGCCGCUCCUGGUUGCCGCUGCAGUAGGGACUCCACGGAGUCAAACGAGAUUCCGCCGCCUUCCCGCCUGAGGCGAUCCCGCAAGCCCGUCCGUCGUCGCCGAGUAAAGAGUCCGGCUGCCCAUCUCCGAGCAAAGAUCCGGCCGCCGCUAGAGUCCCGAGCCUGGGUACAUCCUAGUUCUGAAGGUUAUUUCUUUCUGAAGGAAUCUGUGCAAGUUCUCAAAUGAGAUCUUAAGUUUUGUAGCAGGACUCUUUCUUUUGUUAAGAAG